CUAAGGAUGGUUCUUCAGAAGCUUGCUUCUAUCGAACCGUUUUAGAAACAUCAGUGGCCAACGAUCGUCAGGAUUGUUGAGCUGCAUUGGCGGGAUUUCGCCGUCUUCGUUUCUCUUUCUUCGCGGACGAACACGCGCUGGGGCUGCAACCUUGCAGAAUCCCUGGUCCUUGACUGGAUAUGCGUUAGGGGCUUGUAGCUCAGUUGGUUAGAGCGCGCGCUUGAUAAGCGUGAGGUCGGAAGUUCAAGUCUUCCCAGGCCCACCACACUCAUCGAGUGAGCAUUCGUCUUCUGGUUACGGGGCCAUAGCUCAGCUGGGAGAGCGCGUGCUUUGCAAGCAUGAGGUCGUCGGUUCGAUCCCGUCUGGCUCCACCAGAUGGUUUGAUCAUCGGCUGAUCGCACCUGAUCGUCCGCGAAACAUCACUUCGCACUUGCUAGUCCGGAUGGACAGUAAGCUGCGUGAUUUCUGACAUCGUAAAGAGGAGAUCGAUCCGAGUUGGAUCGGGCAACAAGCAAUUGUUGCGCGAUACUUCAUUAUCUCCGGAUCAUUUCGGCGCUCGUGCGCCUUUCAAUGUAGCUCACAAGGCUGCGUCUGAGAGGAAUGCGAGUUGUAAAUGAUCCUUUUAGCGAAGCUUGACCGCCUCGCUAUCGGAACGAUCUUACGAAGCAAGCUGGUCUUUCUAAUCAUUGUCCGGCUGUGAAUAGCGUUCAUCGAGGGCGCGUGCCGCAAGGCAGUUCUACAGACAACAUUCUGCCGAGUGUGUGGACAUUGAUAAUGAGAGC
rnacentral:tRNA from 2 species